CCUACGGGUGGCAGCAGUGAGGAAUAUUGGUCAAUGGACGAGAGUCUGAACCAGCCAAGUAGCGUGAAGGAUGACUGCUCUAUGGGUUGUAAACUUUUUUUAUAUGGGAAUAAAACAGGGUAUGCAUACCCUCUUGUAUGUACCAUAUGAAUAAGGAUCGGCCAACUCUGUGCCAGCAGCCGCGGUAAUACGGAGGAUCCGAGCGUUAUCCGGAUGUAUUGGGUUUAAAGGGAGCGUAGGUGGAUUGUUAAGUCAGUUGUGAAAGUUUGGGGCUCAACCGUAAAAUUGCAGUUGAAACUGGCAGUCUUGAGUACAGUAGAGGUGGGCGGAAUGCGUGGUGUAGCGGUGAAAUGCUUAGAUAUCACGAAGAACUC
rnacentral:rRNA from 1 species